rnacentral:lncRNA from 1 species
CAGAGGGGUUUGACCUUAACCAGCUCACAGAUCUCAAUUUUUGCAGACAAAAGAUUAAUUAGCACCCGCCGUGAAAUGAAGUGGUGUGUGAAGAUGACAUGUUGCUUCUCUGAGACCUUAGGCAAGUGUUAUGUGUUAACUGUCAACUUGACAGAAUCCGGAACCACUUGGGAGCUUAACAUCCAGGGAGCACAGCUCUAGGUGGUGAGCUGGGGGCUGGAGGACUGAGAAUCGAGGAGAAGCCUCCGUUCUCCACAGUCCCUUAAGAACCAAGGUUGGCUUUUCCAUCUUAGCUUGUUAUGAAGGUCACCACCCAGAAGGCAGAAAAAGAAAGAACUCGGGGAACCAUGCAGAAGAGGAUUAUCAUGAGAUUCACAGCGGGCCAUGGACUUCUGCUUACUGAUGUAAAACUCAGUCCCUCCACCCCACUAAACUACAAGGAAGCCUGGGCGAUAUGGUCUCCACGCAUUCUCUACGAAAAAGGUCAGCAGUGACGGGUCUGUCAGUGGGUGAUCACUGAGCCUUCUCGGAAGACUCCUAGUUAGACCUAAAGACGCUAGCACGAAACCUCAUUCCAGAGAUAAGAAGAGAGGAAAGGGAGGGUUUGGGGACCUCUCUCAGCUGUCUUUUACUUCAGUGGAAAUACAACAGUCCUAAAUUCACCAAUCGACCGUGUCGCACCUUGACUGGCCAGAAACUAAGCUUGUUUCUUAGCAUGGGUUUGAAAGGUUGACAUAAACUCCAUUUGUCUCCGCUUAAAGACCAAACCUGAUUACCAAAAGAAGACGUAAGGCACCAGCUCCAGGAACAGACCGUAAAAUCCACAGUAAGCUCAUAAAACCCCCUCCCAAAGAGUAGCCUGGGGAUAACCACAGAAGUAGGGAAAUGUCUUAUCUCAGGAUGGACCAUCUGCGCUGGGCAGCCCUAUCUCAUCCUAUGACUAAACAUUCAUGACAUAAGAAUGCAGACCGCUGGCCAGCUGUGACCCCCUAGCACCCAACAGUGCAAUUUUAGAUUACCCAAUCCUUCUAGAGGUUCCCCCAGUUCCCUUCUUAUAAGCCCUGCGUGCCUUUGUCUUGGGUCGCCAUUUUAAAGAAUGGUUAACCCCUGGUUGUUUCUGCAGAAAAAAUGUUGUUUGUCUUUGCAUACUAUCUGAGUCUGGGGUCUUCCUUCAGCAAUUUUGAGACUCUUACAGGGAUAUAAGCAAGGUAGCCUGAAAGUACAAAGGGACAACCAGGGCUAUACAGAGAAACCCUGUCUCAAAAAAAACAAAAACAAACAAACAAAAAGUACAAAGGGAUGACUGUCCACAAACAAAGCAGAAGGUGAAGUGGGCCUGGCAGGUAGGAGGAGGGUCUGUCAAGGUUUCCUUCGUAUCAGCCAGACAAAAAAGAGCCUCGUGCUUCUCUACAGAUUAAUAGCUCAAUGCACUGCAGGGUAUUUAUAAGAUUGGGAUAGUACACAGGAAUGAGGCAGGAAAACAAAACAAAACAAAACAAAAAAACAUUGCUACAAGUAACACAUUGGUUGCACAGAUAUUAAGUUGAGUAUAAGAAACAAAAAAAUUUUUUAAAAAUCUAUAUUUAUAUACCAUGUAAUUCCACUUUUACAAAUCCAGAAGUAGACAAAACUAAUCAGUGAAGGCCAGACAUGGUAGCACACACCUAUGACCCCAGCAUCUGUGAAGCAGAGGUCAUCUUCGGCUACAUAGCAAGUUUGAAUUGAAU